CCUACGGGUGGCAGCAGUGAGGAAUAUUGGUCAAUGGGCGGAAGCCUGAACCAGCCAAGUAGCGUGAGGGAUGAAGGCCCUACGGGUUGUAAACCGCUUUUGCACGGGGAUAACACCCUCCACUUGCGGAGGUCUGCAGGUACCGUGCGAAUAAGGGCCGGCUAAUCCCGUGCCAGCAGCCGCGGUAAUACGGAGGUCCCGAGCGUUAUCCGGAUUCAUUGGGCUUAAAGGGAGCGUAGGCGGCCGUUCAAGUCAGCUUUAAAAUGGCGCGGCUCAACCGCGCCCCGCAGUUGAAACUGGACGCCUUGAGUGCACAACAGGCAGGCGGAAUUCGUGGUGUAGCGGUGAAAUGCAUAGAUAGCACGAGGAACCCCGAUUGCGAAGGCAGCCUGCCGGGGUGCGACUGACGCUGAGGCUCGAAGGUGCGGGUAUCGAACAGGAUUAGAUACCCUGGUAGUC
rnacentral:rRNA from 1 species